GAAGAUGGUGGCGCGCGCGGCGUGUGGCUCCCGUCGUCUGCCCAAGUCUCAACUCAGCGCAUUGGCCGGCGACUCGCUGGUCUGGAGCCCCUGCCCGCCGGGUCCCUGACCCCGCGCCCCGCCGCGCCCAAUUCCCGGCAUGCCCCGCGCUCGAAAAGGCAGCGCGCCCCGCAGAGGCGGCAAGCGCAGCGGAGGAGGUACCCGGAGCAGUACCCAAGCUGACUCAGGUUCCAGUGAGGAUGAGGCAGCCAGUGAGGCCCGCAGCACCACCAGUGAAUGUCCCAGCCUCCUUAGCACCGCAGCAGAGGAAAGCUUUGGGGGGGAUGCCGUGGAUGAGCAGGGUCAGCAGGAAGACCUUGAGGAGAAGUUGAAGGAAUAUGUGGACUGCCUCACAGACAAGAGUGCCAAGACCCGGCAGGGUGCUCUUGAGAGCCUGCGUCUGGCCCUAGCAGCGCACCUACUCCCCGACUUCUUGCUGGAGCGCCGCCUCACACUGGCUGAUGCCUUGGAAAAGUGCCUCAAGAAAGGGAAGGGCGAGGAACAGGCCCUUGCCGCUGCUGUGCUAGGCCUGCUGUGCAUUCAGCUGGGUCCUGGACCCAAGGGUGAGGAGUUAUUCCACAGCCUGCAGCCCCUGCUGGUCUCUGUGCUCAGUGACAGCACAGCUAGCCCUGCUGCCCGGCUCCACGUGAGUGUUCCUUGCCCUGUGACACCCUUCCUUCACCUAAUCCCUAAGCAGAGACACGGGUUCCACCUGCCUCUAGGCUCCCCUGCUCCAAGGGUGAGCCCCGUGGCUGGGAACCCAGGCUCACCCUCUGACCACGGCCUGGCUUUGCCCUCCUCCCAGCAGUGCGCUUCUGCUCUUGGCCUGGGCUGCUACGUGGCUGCCACCGAUGUACAGGACCUGGUCUCCUGCCUCACCUGCUUGGAAGGCAUUUUCAGCCGGUCCUGUGGUGUGGGUGGCUCCACAGCCCCAGUGGUCCCUGUCAGCCUUCAGGGCUUGCUCUGUGCUGCCCUGCAGGCCUGGGCCUUGCUACUCACCAUCUGCCCCAGCGCCCAUAUCAGCCGCAUCCUGGACAGGCAGCUGCCCCGGCUGCCCCAGCUCUUGUCCAGUGAAAGUGUGAACCUGCGGAUGGCUGCCGGCGAGACCAUCGCAUUGCUCUUUGAGCUCACCCGGGACCUUGAGGAGGACUUUGUUUACAAGGACAUGGAGGCCCUCUGCAGCGCGCUGCGCACUCUGGCCACUGACAGCAACAAGUAUCGGGCCAAGGCUGACCGCCGGCGCCAACGCUCUACCUUCCGGGCCGUGCUGCACUCUGUUGAGGGCGGCGAGUGUGAGGAGGAGACAGUCCGCUUCGGGCUCGAGGUGCUCUAUGUGGACAGCUGGGCUCGGCGCCGGGUCUAUGCUGCCUUCAAGGACGCGCUGGGUUCCGGCAUGCACCACCACCUCCAGAACAACGAGCUACUCCGUGACAUCUUUGGUCUGGGCCCUGUGCUGGUGCUGGAUGCCACUGCCCUGAAGGCCUGCAAAAUCUCACGUUUUGAGAAGCACCUGUACAACGCUGCUGCCUUCAAAGCCAGGACCAAGGCGCGCAGCCGCGUGCGGGACAAGCGGGCAGACAUCCUGUGAGGCAGGACCAGCCGAAGAGGAGACUGUCCACAUCCUUGCCUGUAUUUUUAACAGAAGACAGUGCAACACCUGGUCCCUGCCAGGCAUUGUCGCUUUAUUUUUUUAAUGACAAAACCAAAAACAGACAUGGGGGCGGGUGGCUGGAGGCCAGGCCACUUGGGACCUUCACGCUUUGCCCCUGUGCCGGCCCUGUGGCCACUUCCUGCCCUGUCAGGGCUGCCCCUUUCUCAGGCCUUGCUCCCCUGGGAUGACCCACUUUCGGGGAGGAGGUGAUAGUAUCUGGACAACUGCCACUACAACGUGGGGCGGUGAGGCUACCUGGAGUGGAUUUAUAUGCUGAGUUUUAAAGAUUUUAGAGAUAAUUAAACAAUGUGCAGUCUUCUGUGGCCCUGGCUUCUGGGUGUUUCUGCCUGCCUUCCCUAUCCACCAACCCAGGCUUGGGCCCAGCUGGGCCUCCCUAUCUCCAUCUCACCUUUGCUCUCCAAAAUAAUCUCUCCCCAGGGGCCCUCCUCCCCCUACUCAGAGCCCAGCCUGUCUUUUGAGAGCAGAGGCUGGACCCCCACUGGGAGGCCCAGCAGAGUUUGGGUGACCAGGGUAGGCAGCUAUUUUUAGACUCCUGAACCUGCUAUCUGGAGGACACCAGAGGGUGCUGACAGGCCCCAAGAGGAGCCAGGAGGCUGGUGUCGCUUCCUCUGACCUUGGGCCACACCAAGUGGGGCUCUGGCACCAGAAGGCUUGGCUAGGCCUAGCUUGAGAAGGCAAGAAAGGCAGACAGCUGCGGGGUCAGAUCAGGCUCUUAUACAAAAACCUCACUAAGGAAGUAGUGUGGAGCAGUAGUGGGAGAGGGGAAAGCUACCAGCGGCCACAUUAUUCCCCCCUGCACAUACCCCCAGGCCCCAGGUCCAAGUGGCAUCUCAACUGGGUGCUCGGGCCUCACUCGAGUUGAGCCUCCGCAGCUGGCUGAGGCUGGUGAGCCGGAGUUUGAGCAGCAUUUCCUCCUGCGUUUGCAGUGUGUGUGCCAGAACGCGUAGGGAUUCGCUCUGCAGCACUAAGACGGGGGGGGAAUUAUCAGACCACAUGCAACCCCACAACACCCGACCCUCCCAGCCCUUCACUGCCUCGGUCUCUCCAUUCCAUUGGCUUCCUGCACCCUCCUCACCACUCAGGUAGACGGCCAGGACAGCCAACGCCAGGCAGGUGAGCACGAGCAGUGCAAGCAGCAGCAGGAAGCUGCCGCGGCUGUGCACGGGGCUGCAGCCGGUCUGGGUGCACAUCGGUGGACGCAGGAUGCCCAGCAGCUCAUCCCAUGGCUGUGCCUCCUCGGCCAGGUAGGGCCACAGUGAACCUGCAGGGCAAACGGGGGAUCAGGAGGGCGGCAGGUGCGCCUGCUUUCCUCCCUUCUCCCAGUCCAUGGGUCCCACCCCGCUGCACCCUUUCACCUCCACUGUGUAGAUCGCUGAUGGACUCCACCCGGUGUAGGCGAACCUCCUGCACAUGAUUAGGAGCCAGUGGUGCCCUGCUCCUUGUCGGUGCCACGGUGUCUGCAGGGGCAGCGUGGGGCUGAUUCAGCCAGCAGGUCAUGCCCUCCCUUCUAGAUGGCGUCGAGCGGCAGCAGGGGCUCAGAAGAGGUAGCAGGGGCAUUUGGCUCCUGAUCCCCUAAAACCAACUCAGGAGUGACCCGUGAUUUGGAAGCAAGACAAUGUGAAAACUGCGUACACCUGUUUCACCCACAGUAGCAGAAGGAAGAACACAUAGUAAGUGCCAUCCUUAAAACCUCAAAAAGGGACUUCCCUGGUGGCUUAGUGGUUAAGAAUCCGCUUGCCAAUGCAGGGGACACGAGUUCAAGCCCUAGUCCGGGAAGAUCCCACAUGCCGCGGAGCAGCUAAGCCCAUGCGCCACAACUACUGAGCCUGCGCUCUAAAGCCUGUGAGCCACAACUACUGAAGCCCAGGCGCUUACAGCCCGUGCUCCGCAACAAGAGAAGCCACCGCAAUGAGAAGCCCGUGCUCCGCAACGAAGAGUAGCCCGCACUCGCCGCAACUAGAGAAAGCCCACGCACAGCAACGAAGAGCCAACGCAGCCAAAAAUAAAUAAAUAAAUAUUCAAAAAAAAAAAAGACCUCAAAAGGAAGCAAACACUCCCACACCCAGGGCCAGGCCCCUCCCAUUCAGUAUAAAAUGUCAAAACUGUGAUGGGGGGAGUUGACCAGUUGGGCCAAGCUGGAGCCUUGGUGCAGCUGGUCCUGCAUCCUGGCCAGCACUGUACCUAAAGCUUACCAGGUCCCUGCUCUGGCGCCUCUGAGCCUCCAUACAUCUUGCAUGCUGUGAGUCAAUUAGGAAAGUGGCCACCAAAGUCUUUAACUAGAAGUCAGUCUGGCCAGGCCAAGAGACCCCAACCUUUAGCCAGUUGGGGCCACACAGGCCCACACUGGAGGCAAGAAACCUAUCCACUCCCAGUCCUUGGGUCAUGUGCCCAAAUGCUUUGCAAAACCACUGCCUGCCCCCAGUCCCAGUGCCCUCCCUGAAGGAAGAGCUUAACUGGCCAGCCUGCCCAGCCCACACCCACUUGGGCACAGCCUGUAGUUGACCCUCCCCUGCCCCCAACCCCUCCCUGGUGUCCUUAGCAGGGGGUACAGGUAUGAGGUGAGGAGGCAUUCGGGGCAUGGUAGGCCCUUCCUUCACACAUAGGGGGCCAGUACUUUUACUUGACCUAGGACACGGUGACUGAUGACUACUCAAGUGAGGUCAGUAGGAAAGGGGCCAGGUUUCUCCAUGGUCCACAGGGUCACAGCAUUGGGGCCUUACCCUCCCUCACAGUCAUUUCCUACCUUCUUGGGCCUCCUCCGGCAUGAUGGGUGUUGGGCAGGCAGGGGGUCGAUGAGAGUGCCUAGUACCAGGACCAGAUAGACGCAGCAGUGGCUCCUCUGAGAGCCUGGGGAAGGCCUGGCUGCCUCCCAACCUGGGCUGAAAAUAGGCGUGAGCUCAGCACACUGGGCUAUAUUUAGAGGGGGCACCUCCCAGCCAUGGGAAGGAGCAGAGUGACCCACAUGGACCAGCCUAGACGAUCUACCUGGUGAUGGAGCCCAGGCAACAGCACACCUCCAGUAGUGCGGUACCCUGGGAACCCUGCUACUCAUGUCUGCAGGGCCUUGGUGUCUUCAUCCAGACAAGCCUCCUCAGGCUCACCUCCAGUGAUGUCCCACAUGGCAAGCCCAUGCAAGGGAGCCCUGUGCAUCUCCACCCCUCCACCCCCUGAAGACUCCUACCCACAGCGGGUUCAUCUAGCAAAUGUGGGACAAGCACCCACCACUGAUCUGCUGGCAUCACGAAUUAGGAGUGAUGGACAACUGGAGCCCAGUGCCCUGAGGGCUCUGAGAGUCCCCAAAGGGGACAGAGACACCCCCAAUACCUGCAGGUACCCAUGCUGGUCAGUGAAGGAACAUAGGUUGAAGGUUGAUACUUCUGUUACUAAGUUUACAACUUUGGGUAAAGGAAUGCUCCCUUUCAGACCUGUUUUCUCAUCUGUAAAGCAGGAAUAACAAUGGUUCCUACCUGGCACAGUGCACAUGAGAAUGAAAAUAUAAGCACGUGUCUGAAGCACUUAGGCCAAUGCAAAGUUUUGAUCCUCCUUCCUCUCUCCAUAAGGGAGUACAGGUCACACAAGUUCAUGUGAGGAUGCAUGGCACCACCUGCCCUUAGGGAGUGGUCCAGCUUAGGACCCACCCUCUGCUGUUGAACCCCUGUGCCCCUCCUUCCCAAAUGGGCCAAAGCAAGACAUUAGGCUCUACUUAAACAUCUGAAAUCCAUCACUCUGCUGUAUCCUUCUUGAUAUUCCUCAAACUCAAGCUUGUUCCCACCUCAGGGCCUUUGCACUGGCUGUUCCUACCUGGAAUGUUCUUCACUAGAUGUUCCCAUGGCUGACUCCUUUUCAUUUAGCUCAAAUGUCACCCCCUCGGUGAGGCCUUCUGCUCACAUUCUUUUCUACAUCACCCAAUUUUAUUUUUUUCAUAGCAUUUAGCCCAGAAAUUAUAUCAUCCAGAAUAUACAGUUGACCCUUGAAUAACUAUAGGGGUUAGGGAUCCCAACCCUCUGUGCAAUGGAAAAUCCACAUACAACUUUACAGUUCACCCACCCUCUGUAACCAUGGUUCCGUAUCUGCAGAUUCAACAAACCAGGGAUCCAGUAGUACUAUUUAUUAAAAAAAAUCACAUGUAAGUGGAUCCUGUACAGCUCAAGCUGGUAUUGUUCAAGGGUUAAGUGUACUAUGCAUGUCAGUAUCCCCAAAGGCCCUACAGAAUCCACUCAGUCACAUGGAAACCACCUUUAAUCCUCACCACAGCAUCCUUAAAAUAAAUAGGUUUUGAGACUUCCAGGAGGUGUCCAAGGCCAUACAGCAAGAACUAGUGAGACAGGGUGGGACCUGGCACCCUUUGGUGCAGUGCUUACACCUGGACAAACAUCUCCUGAGCAAAAGAAUACAAAGAAACCAUAAGGGACUAAAAAUAACUAUGCACCUGCAAAUGGGGCAAAUUAUGAACAAUAUACAAAAAGACCAAAAACCCAACUGCCACUUCUGAACUGCUGGGAGCAAAAGGAGUGCACUACUCACGAUUCCUGCCCACGACACCACCAAGAGGGUGGGCAGACCACCUAAGCCACCCCUACCGCCUGAACCAUGGAUCUGACCCUACCCUCACCCCAUUUAAAGGACCAACUCACCCCCCAGCCCCGCUUCAGGGAGCAAGCAAGGCAACCUGUUCUUUUUGCUCCCGUGUGCUGCAGCAUGAGUCCCAAUAAAGCCUUGCCUGAAUUUCUCGUCUGGCCUCAUCAAUUUCUGUUCACUGAAGAGUCCCAAGAAUCUGGGUCGGUAACGUACGUGGUGGCAAUUCCACCGGACACCCAUGAGGCCGUUUGCCCCCUCCCUGGGAGAGAAUCCAGGCACCUCUGGAACCAACAAACGCACUUUCCCCGUAGGUGACAAGCUGCCGCCUGAACCUCUUGUUUCAGCAUAACCACGUUUGAGUGGACAUCGGGCAGCUACAGCACCACUCCUCUCAGCUUGUGAGACCAUGCUCCCUCUGGCCAACAACGACUCACCUUGAUGGAUGACAAACCGAGGUGGGAGAGGCUCGCCUCAAGCAGUGCAGGUCUUGGUCCAGCAGGCUCUCCCGGACAGGAGAUUUCUGAGAGUGAUAGAGGUUCAACCCUCAUAUCCUAUAGUUUUUGCAAGUACAAUCAUCACAA